UUACGGGAAGCAGCAGUGGGGAAUCUUGCGCAAUGGCCGAAAGGCUGACGCAGCGACGCCGCGUGUGGGAUGACGCCUUUCGGGGUGUAAACCACUGUUGCCCGGGACGAAACCUGGUUUUCGAGCCAGUUGACGGUACCGGGUGAGGAAGCACCGGCUAACUCCGUGCCAGCAGCCGCGGUAAUACGGAGGGUGCGAGCGUUGUCCGGAAUCACUGGGCGUAAAGGGCGCGUAGGCGGCUGAGGCAGUCGGUGGUGAAAGCUCGUGGCUCAACUGCGAGUCGGCCAUCGAUACUCCUCGGCUCGAGCACUGUAGAGGCAGGUGGAAUUCCGGGUGUAGCGGUGGAAUGCGUAGAGAUCCGGAAGAACACCGGUGGCGAAGGCGGCCUGCUGGGCAGUAGCUGACGCUGAGGCGCGACAGCGUGGGGAGCGAACAGGAUUAGAUACCCUGGUAGC
rnacentral:rRNA from 1 species